rnacentral:rRNA from 1 species
GUGGGGAAUCUUAGACAAUGGGGGAAACCCUGAUCUAGCCAUGUCGCGUGAGCGAUGAAGGCCUUAGGGUUGUAAAGCUCUUUCAGCUGGGAAGAUAAUGACUGUACCAGCAGAAGAAGCCCCGGCUAACUCCGUGCCAGCAGCCGCGGUAAUACGGAGGGGGCUAGCGUUGUUCGGAAUUACUGGGCGUAAAGCGCACGUAGGCGGACCGGAAAGUCAGAGGUGAAAUCCCAGGGCUCAACCUUGGAACUGCCUUUGAAACUCCUGGUCGUGAGGUCGAGAGAGGUGAGUGGAAUUCCGAGUGUAGAGGUGAAAUUCGUAGAUAUUCGGAGGAACACAAGUGGCGAAGGCGGCUCACUGGCUCGAUACUGACGCUGAGGUGCGAAAGCGUGGGGAGCAAACAGGAUUAGAAACCCGUGUAGUCC